rnacentral:ncRNA from 1 species
ACCUACUUUUAUUUUAUGUAAAUAAAGUUUUAUUUUAGCAAAUAUACUUUCUAUAAAAUUGUCUUACAUGUAAAAUAAUCCUCUAAAAGAUGGAGAUUUAUUCGCAGUAUCUGGUAUUAAAUAUCAAGGAUACUUGGAAUUAGGAAAUGUAUAUAGCUUUGGUUAAAUUUGUGCCAGCCACCGCGGUUAGACAAAUAAGGCGAGAAAGUAUUAUUGGAAGGAGUUAAUCGUAAGUAGGACAGCCAAAACUUAUUUUUAGGUGAAAUUUUAAUAAGUCCUGAGGCCAUAAGAUGAUUUGGUGAAGCUUGGAAACCCAAUAAAAUAACUAGGAUUAGAGACCCUACUAUGCUGGCCGUUAUUAAGAGUCCCGAGUAGUAGAAGAUACAGGCUUAAAACUCAAAAAUUUGGCGGUGGUUUAACUGAUCAGAGGAAUUUGCCCCGUAAUCGAUAACCCACGUUUAACCUUACUUAAGUUUGUAGUCAGCUUGUAUACCGCCGUCACCAGGAAAUUUUAUGAAAAUAUUUCCGGAAAUUUAAGAGAAAGCAUGUCAGGUCAAGGUGCAGUUUAUAUUUAAGAGAGCGGUGAAUUACAAUAAAUAUAUUUAUUACGGACUUGAGUGUAAGAGAAAAGGAAGGUGGAUUUGGGUGUAAUAGUUUUAAAAGAAAAAUUAUGAUAACAGCGCUAAGCCGUGCACACAUCGCCCGUCGCUCUCGUACAUAGAUGAGAUAAGUCGUAACACAGUAGGUGUACCGGAAGGUGUACCUAGAUUG